AUUGAACGCUGGCGGCAGGCUUAACACAUGCAAGUCGAGCGAGCGGCGGACGGGUGAGUAAUGUCUGGGACACUGCCUGAGGGGGGGGGAUAAAUACUGGACACGGUAUCAAAUCCCGUAUUCCAUCAGAUGUGCACAGAUGGGUUUAGCGAGGAGGUGGGGUAAUGGCUCACCUAGGCGACGAUCCCUAGCUGUUCUGAGGGGAUGAUCAGCCACACGGGAACUGAGACACGGCCCAGACGCCUACGGGAGGCAGCAGUGGGGAAUAUUGCACAAGGGGCGCAAGCCUGAUGCAGCCAUGCCGCGUGUGUGAAGAAGGCCCUCGGGUUGUAAAGCACUUUCAGCGAGGAGGCGUUACCCACAGAAGAAGCACCGGCUAACUCCGUGCCAGCAGCCGCGGUAAUUC
rnacentral:rRNA from 1 species